AGCAAAGUCAGGAUGCAUUUUU
rnacentral:miRNA from 1 species